GUCAGCAGCCGGCGACGCGCUGCGAACCCGGCUGCGAGAGGACCGUUCUCUCCCGCACGCCUCCGUCCAGCAACCGCAGCGCGAGGAGAAAGGUUCCGGCCUCCGCCAAGCUACCGCGGAGCGAGGAGAAAGGUUCCGGCCUCGCGCUGGCGCUCGGGGCGGAUCCCGGAAGCUGCCUGGAAGUGCUCACCGGCGCCCUUUUCUUCUCCCCGAAAACCCCGCAGGCUUGGCCGCGCCGAGUGACUCUGGGUCCCCGACCGUCGUGUGCCGUCGAGCCGGUUCCGACUCAGCGACCCUGUGCACAACAGAAGGGAACACUGCCCGGUCCUGCGCCAUCCUCACAAUCGUUGCUAUGCUUGAGCCCAUUCUUGCAGCCACUGUGUCAAUCCACCUCGUUGAGGGUCUUCCUCUUUUCCGCUGACCUUGUACUCUGCCAAGCAUGAUGUCCUUCUCCAGGGACUGAUCCCUCCUGACGACAUGUCCAAAGUAUGUAAGGCGCAGUGUCGCCAUCCUUGCUUCUAAGGAACAUUCUGGCCACACUUCUUCCAAGACAGAUUUGUUCAUUCUUUUGGCAGUCCAUGGUAUAUUCAAUAUUCUUCGCCAACACCACAAUUUAAAGGCAUCAGUUCUUCUUUGGUCUUCCUUAUUCAUUGUCCAGCUUUGACAUGCAUAUGAUGCGAUUGAAAAUACCAUGGCUUGGCCUUAGUCCUCAAGGUGACAUCUUUGCUUUUCAACACUUUGAAGAAGUUCUUUGCAGCAGAUUUGCCCAACGAGAUGCGUCUUUUGAUUUCUUGACUGCUGCUUCCAUGGCUGUUGAUUGUGGAUCCACGUAAAAUGAAAUCGUUGACAGCUUCAAUCUUUUCUCCAUUUAUCAUGAUGUUGCUCAUUGGUCAGUUGUGAAGAUUUUUGUUUUCUUUAUGUUGAGGUGUAAUCCAUGCUGAAGGCUGUGGUCUUUGAUCUUCAUUAGUAAGUGCUUUAAGACUCUUCACUUUCAGCAAACAAGGUUGUGUCAUCUGCAUAACGCAGGUUGUUAAUGAGUCUUGCUCCAAUCCUGAUGCCCCGUUCCUCUUCAUAUAGUCCAGCUUCUCAGAUUAUUUGCUCAGCAUACAGACUGAAUAAGUAUGGUGAAAGAAUACAACCCUGAUGCACACCUUUCCUGACUUUAAACCAAUCAGUAGCCCCUUGUUCUGUCCAAACAACUGCCUCUUAAUCUAUGUAAAGGCUCAGCAUGAGCACAACUGUUCUGGAUUUCCCAUUCUUCAUAAUGUUAUCCACAAUUUGUUAUAAUCAAGAGUCGAAUGGCUUUGCAUAGUCAAUAAAACACAGGUAAACAUCCUUCUGGUAUUCUCUGCUUUCAUCCAGGAUCCAUCUGACAUCAGCAAUGAUAUCCCUGGUUCUGUGUCCUCUUCUGAAACCAGCCUGAAGUUCCCUGUUGAUAUUCUGCUGCAGCCAUUUUUGAAUGAUUUUCAGUGAAAUUUUGCUUGCGUGUGAUAUUAAUGAUAUUGUUUGAUAAUUUCCGCAUUUGGUUGGAUCACCUUUCUUGGGAAUAGGCAUAAAUAUGGAUCUGUUCUAGUCAGUUGGCCAGGAAGCUGUCUUCCAUAUUUCUUGGCAUAGACGAGUGAGCACCUCCAGUGCUGCAUCUGUUUGUUGAAACAUCUCAAUUGAUAUUCCAUGAAUUCCUGAACCCUUGUUAUUUGCCAAUGCCUUCAGAGCAGCUUGGACUUCUUCCUUCAGCACCAUCGGUUCCCGAUCAUAUGCCACCUCUUGAAAUGGUUGAACAUCGACUAAUUCCAGUAAAUAUUAGCUGCUGUUAAUAUUAUCCUUAUUAUUUGUGGUGGGGAAGAGGAUCACAGAGAAGCUACCACCUGAGCAGAGAUUUGAAGGAUGAGUAGGAAUUUAUCAACUGGAUAUAAGGAUGAAAGAGUGCCUCUUGUGUCACCAAUCGCUAACUCAAGUCAUAAUAUUUGCUUAAGUUGGCUGCGAGUCAGCUGUCAUGAACUGAAUUGUGUCUGCCCCUCUCCCCCCAGUAUGUGUCAACUUGGCUAGGCCAUGAUUUGCAGUGUUGUGUGGUGGUCCUCCAUUUUGUAACCUGAUGUAAUUAUCCUCCAUUUUGUGAUGUGUUGUAAAUCCUAACCUCUAUAUGUUAAUGAGGCAGGAUCAGUGUGAGGUGGAUCUUGAGUCACAGCUUUACUUAGCUCACACCCCUACUCCAGUCACACCCUUGCUUGAGUCAUACCCUUGCUUGAGUCACACCUUUUAUCUUAUACGAAGUAAUAAAGCAGCAGCCUUUGAUACUGUGGGAAAAAUCCCACAGUGGAGAUCACACCUCAGAGCUUGUAUUUUCUUUUUCAGGCAAGACAAGUAAGCCACCGAGUGCUGGUUCAAACUAGUUCAAGAGACCUACAGUUGAAUUUGGCUCAUUAAUUUCCUCGUAGGUACCAAUUUUUCCACCUCUAAAAAAAAAAAAAAAAAAAAAAACCCUAGGAGGAGUUUAACCACCAUUUUCUAAACACAUGUACUGUGAAGUUUUAUGUAACCCCCUGCCGUAGCAUGAUUUAGAAUGUUGCUGUUGUAAUUCACAUGAUCUCCCUGCUUGUAAGCUCUAUAAAAGCGACCUCCCUAAACUUUAUCCUUGAAUAGUCUUGGAGACACCAGCCCCGACUGUUCCUUUCCUUGCAAGGAAAUAAAGCUGCCUUUCUGA